rnacentral:rRNA from 1 species
UACGGAGGAUGCGAGCGUUAUCCGGAUUUAUUGGGUUUAAAGGGUGCGUAGGCGGGCUUUUAAGUCAGCGGUAAAAAUUUCGGGGCUCAACCCCGUCCGGCCGUUGAAACUGGGGGCCUUGAGUGGGGCGAGAAGAAGGCGGAAUGUCGUGGUGUAGCGGUGAAAUGCAUAGAUAUCACGCAGAACCCCGAUUGCGAAGGCAGCAUACCGGCGCCCGACUGACGCUGAAGCACGAAAGCGUGGGUAGUCGAACAGG